rnacentral:misc_RNA from 1 species
AACGCACCUUGCGCUCCUUGGUAUUCCGAGGAGCAUGCCUGUUUGAGUGUCAUUUAAUUCUCAAUCUCUCCAAACUUGUGUUGUGAGUAGAUUGGAGGUGAGGGUUUUGUGGGUGUAUCAAUUAUAUCCGCUCCCUUGAAAAUCAUUAGCUGGAAUGCCUUUGCAAAACCAACUAUCAGUAUGAUAAUUAUCUAGUCUGAUGUUGCUGUGAAGGGGAUCUGCUUUCAAACCGUCAUUGUGACAACUUGAAUCCAUUUGACCUCAAAUCAGGUAGGACUACCCGCUGAACUUAA